AAAAAAAGCAGCAGGAGGUUGUAACACAUCAAGACAUCAUCAGCAAAUGGAAAAAAGCCUCAGGAAAGCUUUGCCUCAGGACUUAGCUUAAUCAUUUGGUCCAGCCCAGCUUCGCCUGGCUCAUGACAUCUCUGGACCUGUGUAUCUGCUGCUGUCUGUACUCAGAGAAUGAUGGACACCUCGGAUUCACCAGCAGGAACACUUUGCUUUGGCCUGCCACGUUAAAGCUGUGAUAUUUGUCUUCAGUGUGUUGGACUGUAGAUUGCAGAAGUACAGCCACUGCUUCCCAAGCUUCACAGCUGCGUCACAAACAACCCCUACAGAGGACACAGAGGAAGGACACACGUCCAGCUGAGCUUCUUGUUAAAGAACUGCAAAGCCGCUCCCAGAUGGCCUCUGGGACUGUAGUUUGUAGCAGAAUAUUCUGAAACUACGGUAGGUGAGGGGCUGAUCCAUCGCCAGCAGAACGUCUGUGCGGCAGAAACGAGGCACUUCCCUAGGAACAGUGUUUUCAUCAGUGUCCAGAGCUCACGUGUCCCUCUGUCCGUUCAGCUGCCUUCUGGUAAUUCCCUC